GGGGAACCAGGACUUUUACUGUGAAAAAAUUAGAGUGUUCAAAGCAGGCCUUUGCUCGGAUACAUUAGCAUGGAAUAAUAGAAUAGGACGUGCGGUUCUAUUUUGUUGGUUUCUAGGACCGCCGUAAUGAUUAAUAGGGAUAGUCGGGGGCGUCAGUAUUCAGCUGUCAGAGGUGAAAUUCUUGGAUUUAUUGAAGACUAACUACUGCGAAAGCAUUUGCCAAGGAUGUCUUCAUUAAUCAGGAACGAAAGUUAGGGGAUCGAAGACGAUCAGAUACCGUCGUAGUCUUAACCAUAAACUAUGCCGACUAGGGAUCGGACGGUGUUAUUUUUUGACCCGUUCGGCACCUUACGAGAAAUCAAAGUGCUUGGGCUCCAGGGGGAGUAUGGUCGCAAGGCUGAAACUUAAAGAAAUUGACGGAAGGGCACCACCAGGGGUGGAGCCUGCGGCUUGAUUUGACCCAACACGGGGAAACUCACCAGGUCCAGACACAAUGAGGAUUGACAGAUUGAGAGCUCUUUCUUGAUUUUGUGGGUGGUGGUGCAUGGCCGUCCUUAGUUGGUGGAGUGAUUUGUCUGCUUAAUUGCGAUAACGAACGAGACCU
rnacentral:rRNA from 1 species